UACGAAGGGGGCCAGCGUUGUUCGGAAUCACUGGGCGUAAAGCGCACGUAGGCGGAUUUGUUAGUCAGGGGUGAAAUCCCGGGGCUCAACCUCGGAACUGCCUUUGAUACUGCAAAUCUCGAGUCCGGAAGAGGUGAGUGGAAUUCCUAGUGUAGAGGUGAAAUUCGUAGAUAUUAGGAAGAACACCAGUGGCGAAGGCGGCUCACUGGUCCGGUACUGACGGUGAGGUGCGAAAGCGUGGGGAGCAAACAGG
rnacentral:rRNA from 1 species